CUUAGAAGAGUAUCCUCAAAUAGCAUAACAGACAAAGGUGCAAGAAAGAGACUGAGUGAUUUCCUCAAAAAAAUAAAAAUAAAAAGAUUGAGUGCCAAAUGGUAAUUCACAUUCUUACACGUUACUCCCACAACUAUUUUGAAUUUAAAUAUUUACCCCAACAAAUAUUCAUCCAUUUAAUUAAAAAUUCCAAACAUAAAAUAAUAAAAAAAUUCCAAAAAAAAAAAAAUCAAUUACCCUUUCGUUUUGCAAAUAAUAACAAUUUUAAGGGUUCUAUUUUUUUCUUUUUUCUGGAAUUUUCUAUCGGUGGGUUUUGCUAAUCUCCCCGCGAUGGGCACCAAGGGGUCAUGUCCAUGGGAUAGCUACCCAAGACCCUCAAGAAAGACGUGAACUCCUGCACCUCCGCCAGCGCGUUCUGUGCCCUAACCUCCGCCAUUGAUGCUUCGAAAUCCACGUAAAACAUGUACUCGAAGUGCUUCGCCGUGCCGACAUUCGCGUCGUCCACCAGCCUGAUUGGGCGGUUCCUGUGCGGCCGCGACUCAAUCUUAGUCAAGUUGAUGUUACGGAAUGCGAACGCAGAUAGCACCUUGAAUAGAACGCUCGUUCCCUUAUCGUGUGCGAACACGAUGCUCGUCUUGAAUGGCCUGUCCGUGCGCGGGAUAAUUGGCUCACGCGCCAACAUCACGAACCUUGUCACGUUGCUUGAGUCGUCCUGGAUUCCGUCGGCCAGUAUUUGCAGUCCGUACAGCUCUGCCGCGCGUGCGCUGGCUAUGGCUGCUGUGUCGCGAAGGUUGUUGGCGGCUAUGUAUUCUGCAGCUCCAGCCGUGUCGUCUACUGCCUCCCGGGCGGCGUGUAGUCCGAGUUUAGUGAGCGUUAGCUCGCAUUGUGCGAGUGCUUGAGGAUGAGAGAUCACUCGAGUAAUGUACUCUUUGCGGACGCCAGGAAGGGCUAAGAGACAGUGGUGCACUGGUAAUUGUACUUCACCGACGAUGUGGAGGCGAUGGCGGAGAAGCAAAUCGUAAUUUCUGUGAAUAGAUCCACCGAGAGAAUUCUCAACUGGUAAAACCGCACGAUCUGAGAUCCAGAGCUCAACCGCCUGAAAAGCCACCUCAAAUUGAUCGCAAGGAAUAGCUUCACAGUUUGGAUAAGCUUUCCCCGCGGCAGCCUCCGAAUAUGCUCCUGGAACUCCCUGAUAAGCCACACGGAGCUGAGAGCCAUGCAUAGGAGCCGGUGACAGAUCCGUAAUAGUUAACGGCUUCAUGGGCUUGUUAUUAUUAGAGUUGCCAUCAUCAUUAGAACCUUUGUUGAGAGGGAUUAAACUAAGUUCCAUAGAGGUCUUAUGACCGUUGACAGCAGCCACAUGGUCAGCGCCGCCGCCGCCGCCACCGGAAUCUCCACCGGAUUGCUCUUGAGAAACGACUUUGCUGGCUAAUAUCGCGCAAGAACUUUGCCAGUCAGCUCGGCUGGAGCCAACGCCGUUAGAGAAAUGGACAGAAUCUGACCGAUGGAUGCAAUGAACAUAAAGCUUGUUGGGGGUGACUCGGGCGAGUCGACGCCCAGUCCGGACUAAAGACUUGAGGGGAGACGAAGGGGAGAUCGCCUGCAUCGUUAAAUUGGUUUGCUUUCGUUGCGCUUAUUCUAAUGAUAGAAAGAAUACAGAGGUUUUUUUUUUUUUUUUUUUU
rnacentral:misc_RNA from 1 species